rnacentral:rRNA from 1 species
CCUACGGGAGGCAGCAGUGGGGAAUCUUAGACAAUGGGGGCAACCCUGAUCUAGCCAUGCCGCGUGAGUGAUGAAGGCCUUAGGGUUGUAAAGCUCUUUCGCACGCGACGAUGAUGACGGUAGCGUGAGAAGAAGCCCCGGCUAACUACGUGCCAGCAGCCGCGGU